UUUCUUUCUUCUAUCCUCUUCUUCUCUGUUCUUCUCCGUCUCUCUGUCGAUCUCAGUCUCUGAGAUUUGAAUGUUUAGUGGUAUGAGAAUUCUUGUAGACCUUAUUAUCCAAGAUGAUUAGAUGAAGAAGGUGAUGUUAUUGGAGCUGAUCUAGUUCUUCAAUUUCUGAGAAUGUUAAUCUUUAUUACCAACGAUCGAUCUAAAUAAUGAAUCAGUGGAUUAUGAAUCUCAAGGUAUGCGAGGCUUGUCAUCAAAAGAGUUUCAGAGACAGAUGAAGAUGUGCGUGCGUCGAUGAAAGCUUCGAGGAGUUGGUUUCGUUAGUUGGUUAGCUUUUGCAAUGUUUAUUUUCUGUUUAUAUUCUAUUUGUAAACCAACUCACUAUUGAAUAUGUAUCAUUUGAGAGGAGUUCUUGUAUUUGUUUCAGAGAGGGUUUAGAUUCGGGUUAAUCUUUGUUUUCUUAAUGUUUAAUUAGAUGUUUUAAAUC